rnacentral:ncRNA from 1 species
AGUUGAUAAAGGCAAAUCAACCGAAAGGUUGAGACGCAAAGCAAUGGGUCUAAAGCACCAAAAGUGCUAAGGCAGCCAGGCUACCGAC